AUUGAACGCUGGCGGCAUGCUUUACACAUGCAAGUCGAACGGCAGCGCGGGCUUCGGCCUGGCGGCGAGUGGCGAACGGGUGAGUAAUGCAUCGGAACGUGCCCAGUAGUGGGGGAUAGCCCGGCGAAAGCCGGAUUAAUACCGCAUACGACCUGAGGGUGAAAGCGGGGGACCGAAAGGCCUCGCGCUAUUGGAGCGGCCGAUGUCGGAUUAGCUCGUUGGUGGGGUAAAGGCUUACCAAGGCGACGAUCCGUAGCUGGUCUGAGAGGACGACCAGCCAAACGGGAACUGAGACACGGCCCAGACUCCUACGGGAGGCAGCAGUGGGGAAUUUUGGACAAUGGGGGCAACCCGGAUCCAGCCAUGCGGCGUGCGGGAAGAAGGCCUUCGGGUUGUAAACCGCUUUUGUUCGGGAAGAAAUCCUCUGGCUAAUACCCCGGGGGGAUGACGGUACCGGAAGAAUAAGCACCGGCUAACUACGUG
rnacentral:rRNA from 1 species